rnacentral:rRNA from 1 species
GACGAACGCUGGCGGCGUGCUUAACACAUGCAAGUCGAACGGAAAGGCCUCUUUCGGGGGGUACUCGCGUGGCGAACGGGGGAGUAACACAUGAGUAUCCCGCCCUUUACUUUGUGAUAAAUCUUGGAAACUGUGGCUAUAACACGAUAGAGGCUCCCCUGCCACGUGGGGGGUGGGAGAGUUUCGGGGGUUGGGGAUGGGCUCGCGGCUUUUCAGCUUGUUGGGGGGGGAGUGGCUUUCCAAAGGUUUGUCGGGUAGCCGGGCUGGGAGGGUGACCGGGCACAUUGGGACUGAGAUACGGCCCAGACUCCUACGGGGGGCAGGAGUGGGGAAUAUUGCACAAUGGGUGGAAGCCUGAUGCAGCAACGCCGGGUGCGGGAUGACGGGCUUCGGGUUGUAAACCGCUUUCGCUCAUGACGAAGCUUUGUGUGACGGUAGUGGGUAAAGAAGCACCGGCUAACUACGUG